AACUCCUAGGCUCAAGUGAUCCUCCUGCCUUGGCCUCCCACAGUGCUGGGAUUACAGGCAUGAGCUAUUGUGCCUGGCCCUUUCUCCCCAUUUUAAACAUGAGUAAACUGAGGGCCAGGGAGAUGUACAGGAAAAUGUUCUCAAGCACAUAGGGUCACUGUGGCAGAAACAGGCUCAGAGCAGAGUAACGACUUUGGGAGGUGUUCUUUCUGCGUGGCUGAACUCACAGAAAAGGCUUUGUUGAAGUUACUGACUUAUUGUAGGUUUGAGACUAUGCACAUGAUAAGCGUAAACUGUGUUUUUUCCCUCUCUGUUUUUACUGUGUGCACAUUUAUUUAUCAAGAGAUUUUCUAAAUACAAACGUAUCUUUCUAAUGAUAGGAAAUGGCAUGUUUGGAUUCUUUUUAAGGACCACUACAAUGCUAAAUUGCCUUUAGUAUAUGAACACUUGCUAAAUAUUUAAUAUAAAUAAUUCAUUUUUAACCAUUGAUUUUUUGGGCUGAUAUUAAUUAUCAUCAUAAUUUAUUUAAAGAGCAGGAGAGACAUCUAAGAUAGUUUAAGGGAAGUCAGAUGUCAUGCUACAGGGUCAAGGGCAAAUUGGCUUCAGUUCCUUUGGUUAUGUCCUGAAUGUGCCAGGUGGUGAAACUGAGUUACCGGGAGGAAGCCGCAUUUCAAGGGAGUGGCCACUGAGGCGUGGGCAGCUUGCUAUGAGUUCAGCUGACUUUGUUGAAUUUUUAGAAAAUGAGAGUUUAAUGAAUUCCAGAUGAAGAGAUUAUUCACUCUGCGAUGUUUUAAAUCCUCUUUCCGAAGCACACAGAACAGCACUGUAUUCGAUCAAGACUUCAGUAGCAGCUUGCUGAUAAGGCCGUUUUCCAGUGUUGAGAUGUUAAGGAUAUUUGGAUAGAAAGGAUAGACUUAGGCUGGAGAGUCAGAAUUUCACCUACAACGUGGCCAUCUAGUUGUCCCCUCCUUUUGACAGAGGGCCACACAUGCCAAUCCCGUUGGCUACAAUCAGUCCUGCAUGAGGUGUUACAGGGGAUGCCAAGAGGACAGAACCCUGUUUUCAAGGAGGAUUUUCUUCUUUUGGGGUGACAAGACUACUUGUACAUGGCUCCGGCAAAGAAAAACCAUGUGAUAACGGAUGGUGAUGACUGCAAGGGGCAGUGAAGAGGGUCAGAGAAGGGAGGGGGGCCGGUGAGGGCCAGUGGUUCUCACGUCUCAUGGCUCACCAUCUGGAAAUACUUCUGAUGGUCACAGCUUGCAGGGAGGCUUGUGCUGCUGGUAUUGAAGGAUGCUGUUAAACGUCCUGCAACGCACAGGACAGGCUUACAAAACAAACAAUUGUCCUGCUCACAAUACUGAUGGUGCUAGGCUGGAGAGACCCUCGUGUGGGCUGAAGUAACGUGUCAGGCUUUAUGGAGGAGGUGAGAUUUAAUCUCCCUUUUCAUUCAUUCCUUCUUCUAUUUGUUCAAUAUUUAUUUAGUGCCUACUCUUAGCCAGUGUCUGUUUUGUCCCGGAGAUAUAGUGGGGAAUGAAUCAAAGUAGCUCUGCGGCCAAAGUAGUUCUUAAGGUUUAGUGUGAAAAAAAUACAAUUCUGGAAAAAAUUAAGGUAUGAUGAUUAUGUUGAUGGGGGAGCAAAGGUGCCCAGGGAACCCACCACAGGAAGACCCAUCUCAGCCAUGAGGUCAGGAAAAUUCUUCCAAAGUGAAAUAUUUCUUCAACCACAACUGGAGGGGUAGUGGGAGAUGGUCACAUGGGGGCACCUGAAUGAGUGUGUGUCAGGAGAUGGGGUGCAGAGCAAGCAGCAUUGUUUGAGGCAGAUGGAGCAGCUUGUGUAAAAUUUGGAGGAGAGCGAGAGGGUAGUGGGGUGUGGUCCUGCACAUCAGAGAUGCCAGGAGAAGAGCAGAGAGAUGAGGCUACAGAAGUAGACAGGGCCCUCUACUGGGAGUGUCUGAGUUAGUUAAGAGUUCAGAUUUCAUUCAUAAAGACCCUAAAAAAUAUUGAAGACUUUAAAAGUCUUAAAGCAGUGGAGUGACAGAUCAGAUUUAAGUUCUGGGAAGUUCAGUCCAGCUGCAGCAUUGAGGUGAGAUUGGAGGAAAACCAACUAGGGCAUGGAGGUCAUUGAGGCUGAUGGGCUGGGAGGGGCAAGAGAGGCCUUCGGAGCAGCGUGGUGAGGAUGGCAGUGGCCAAAGCAAACUCAUAUGCUGAAGAGGCAGAAUGCAGGGCACUUACUUGAAGCGAAAUAGGAGGGAGGUGGCAAGGAAGAUGUUCACAUUUUUGCCUGGGCAAGUCAAACGUUUUGGGUACCAUUUCCAGGGUGCACUAGACAGGGUGCUGGUUUCUUCAGUAGCAGCUGGAAGAACAUGAAUAAUAUUCCAGAAUGAUGUCGAGUACCAUUUUGGACACAGAGUUUGAGCUUCCUGAGGGACAUUCACUCAGAGUUGUUUACUGACCCCAAGAGAUGAUUGUUUGAGAGUCACGGUUGAUAAGGCUGUGUAGGGGAGGCAGAAGAGAAGAGCUCUGAGAAACAAAAUGUUCAAGGACAGGUUUGCGGGAGGAGCUUCCAGAGGAGGGGCUGGAGUGGCAGAAGCCAAACCAGAGGGAGGUGGCAUCCAAGAAAGUAAGAGUAAGUUGGAGAAAGAGGGAGUGAGAUGCACUGUCCUGCCACUGGCUGUUUUCAGGAUAAUGACUCCAAACCUUCCAUGCCUGUGAGGACAUGAAGGUCCCUGGUGAUCUUGAAUGAGCCGUCCAAAUGGAGCAUUGGAUGUGGAAGCCAGGCUGGAGGGGAUCAAGGAGAAGAGGGGAGCAGAGGGCGGAAAUGGGUGCUAAAGCAGCUGUAGCCGGAGGUCUGUUUAAGUCACUUAACAGCUGUUAUAGCAAUGGGCACGUGCCCGGUGGGAUGGCUGCAGGCAGGGAGAGCUGAUACCAGACCUGGCUGUAGCUCUGAUGGACACAUUUUCCAAAAUAAAAGAGGACCGCUUUAAAAAAACAUUUUAAAAAACAUAUAGUGUAGGGAAAAAAAAAAGAUAGAAACUCUGGAACAUGUGGUUACCAAGUGGUGGUUUAUUUGGCGUAGUAGAUGCAGGCAGGAGGGACCAAGAUAAUGUCAAGGUCAUUGAAGGGUGAACUCAAGUCAUGUUUCUUAAUAGUCACACCGUUGACAUGCUGGUAUUUAUACCUGUAAUGUAAUUUGUAGCACUUCUACUGGAAUUUAUUAGCUAACAGAAGUAAAUGCACUGGAAAGAUGAAUCUUUCUAUACAUUUUAGAUAGUGUAUACAUUUUACCUAGCAAGGCACUUCCGUUAGCACAAAAAAUAAUGGCCUUUUUCAACAAGAUGACUGUCACAAAGAAAAAAGUGUAGAUAGUCAAAUGAUUUAUUUCCCCAUCCAUGUUUGAGUUUAUUCAUGGGGAAAUUCACCUUGUGAACUAAUAAUUUUCUGGGCUAAGAAAAAUCAGCAGGUAUUUUUCUUUUUAGGAAAUACUUCUUUUGUAUUUUUAUUUUUUUUUAUUUUUUAGAAUGGGCUUUCUUAGGCUUAAAAAAUCAUCUAAGUCUAUGGCUUUGAUAUCAAGGAAAAGGCUUCUUUCAAUUGCUUUAACCUUUUUGAAAAGGUGACCUAUAGAGAUAAAUGUUCUCAUGCUGAGAAUCAGGACUGUCUUUAAUAUGUAUAGUAAUAUAGGCAGAACAGGAAACAGACCACUUUCUUGAAGUGGUUUAAGAAAAAUUCAAGAUCCCGGACUGAGGAAAGGAACAUUUUUGGAAAGGUCAGGCUUAAGACCCGUACCCUAGGCAAUCAAAUAUAAAUAAAUAAAUAAACAAAUAAAUAAAAUAAACCUCAUUCUCAUGGCAGGUUGUGGAUGAUACCAGAACAGAGGGUGGACCAGGCCAGAACCAGGAACGCAGGAACUAGCUAAGAAGGAGGAUUCUGCAACAAGGCACCGAUUAUGCCAGACAGGCCCUCACCAGACACUGAAUCUGCCAGCAUCUUGAUCUUGAACUUCCCAGCGUCUAGAACUGUGAGCAAUAAAUUUCUGUUGUUUAUAAAUUACCCAGUCUAACGUAUGUUGUUAUGGUAGCUGAAAUGGACUAACACAUCAUAUGGUUCGAAUAUCUUUAAUGUCACCAAUUAUAGCUCAUUUCUGAUGUUUCUGAUAUGAAACCAUUUUUGAUGUUCAAUAGAGCUUUGUAAAUAACAAGAGUGCUCAUAGUAGCUGCCUCAUGUCUGGGCUCCUGACUGGAACUUCAGGGUCUACCACGGGCUCUGAAUUCUCAGUGAGGAUGCCCGCAGCACACUUCAUAUGACACUGUAUAUCUGGAGUAUUUAAAAGUGAAGUCUAGACAAGGCAGUUAACAAAAGAUGGUAAAGGGUGAAUGGAGGCUGUGCCUGCAGCUCCCUUUGCUGCUGUAGGUGACCUCAGGGCUAACAGCAGCAGCUGUUAUGUGGGGCACAUCACUGUUCCAAGUACCUUAUGCUAAUAAGACCCCUUUUCUGGGUUGUCUCAUCUACUCCUCGUAAUAAUCCAGUGGAGCUGUCUUCUUAGCCCCAUCUUUCAGAUAAGGAAACUGUGGCCCCAAGAAGUUCUAAAUUUUCUCAAGGUCGAUAGUUAGUGAGUGCAGAGAUAUUGACUUCAGUGGUCCAAUGAUAAGCCAGUGUGGAAGGUCUUGGCAUAGAAGCCUCAGUUACCCAGCUAACCAGAGAUAGUCUGUCGAGGUGGCUGUAUGUAUGUUGGAUUUAGACUGUCUACAGCUGUCCAAAACUGUUGUCCAGGCUUGUCCUUCAUAGCAGCCCCCAACUGACCAUCCCAGAGCUGUGACAGGGUGCUGCCUAAGCAGUGGAUCUUUCUUCAGGUUUGUCUGUAGAGGCCUCCCUUGCCUGCUUAGACAACAGGAUUUGGUCUUGCCAUGUUUUCCUGGGGGCUCUCAUCCCCUGGGUCACUUUUAUAGAUCCUGAGCAAGUCUUCAUUUCUUAUGGGCUUUACCCUUCUUCUCUAGGCCAUAGCCAUUUGUACCAAUGCAAUUUACUAGUGAAUUUGAUAACCUUCAGUUCACCAAAAUUUUCAUAUCAGCACAUGUGGAGUGAUGAUAUUGGUGGGGACAGUGUAGCAUGGGGCCUGGACACCCAGGCCCUGGGGCCAGCUGAGUCCCACUCUGGCUUGGUCACUUCCUGGCUAUGUGACUGCUGAGCCAAUUAUUCCAACUCUCUCUGCUUCCAUUUAUUUAUGUUGGAAUGGGAGUAAGAUAGUACUUGCUUACAGAGUUGUUGGAGGAUUAAAUGCAUUAAUCUAUGUGAGUAUUUGCUCCCCAGCCAACUCAACUGAAUGGAUUUAGGGGGAUAUUUAAAGAAUAAACUUCUAUUCUUAAGUUCUUUUUUGCUGACCCAAUGUGAUUUGCUGGUUUAACACCACAGGCCAGUGUGGGAGAUAUUCCUUCAAUUGCAGAGGAUUUUGGGAUGGUGGAUGGAUGGUAAGAGCCCACUGAAAGUGUCAUGAAGAGAUGCCUCUCCAAGAAGCAGCAAAUGCUGCCAUGAAUUUUCAGGCCACUGGUGGCUGACUUAGUUAUCAUCAUCUUUAUGUGAGUUUUACCUUGCUAAGUACCAUUCAUCAAUUUUUGAAUAUCUAAGGUAUUUGAGGUCGUUCAUUCAAGGCAAAAUGCUGAAAGUAAAAGCGAAAUCAAGAACCCAGGGGCUUUGAAGGCUUUUCUUAACUCGCGGCCACAUUCUGCCUUUAAAAGCACUGACUUGACUUUUACAAGAGCCUGUAGAAUAAUCUAACAGAAAAUGGAAGCCAAGAGCACAGCGAUUCCCUUAAAUAUUUCAUAUUGCAUUUGGAUGUGCAUUUUUCAAAGAUCAUUUCCUUGACAUUUUCUGGGGGUAUAUUUCUUGGGAAAUAAAAUAAAUAUGUUUGGUUGAUGCUCAUACCAAUUUAUUUAGAGCUAUAAAUAAGAUAGAGAUGCCUCCUGUCAUUUGUACUAGAAAAUAUAAGGAUCAGAGGAAUAUUUUAGGAGGACAGGGCAAAGGAUUAAUAAUACUCUUCAGAAUAUGCUGACGUUGCUGAUGCUUUUAGCUGUUUUAGCUGAUCCUCAUAUGGUUUACUACCAAGAAUCGAGAGAAACUGUCAUCAAAGCACAGGCCAGAGAAGAACCACAAUACCCCAGACCUCACAAUUCAUUAGGGGCAGGAGAGUGACAUAAUUGGAUUUUCUAGCUUUCUAGUCUGUGCACGUCACACAACCUCUCCAAAUAAUCAUGUCGAUUAUCUGGUAGCCUGAUCACUCUGAGUGCUUCCCUGAGGCCAGCAAUGACCCUUAAAAGGUAAGAAAUUCACUUAUUUCAAGUGGAGACUGAUAUAUGUAUGCAAAGCUCCCAAAAGGAAAAUGAGAGGAACGAACUUACUGCAAUCCCCUGAGAAUGAAUCUAUUCAUGCAAUGAAUCUGUUGAAUCAUUGCAUUGCUGCUGUGGGGCAUAUGAUGGAAAUGGCUUUCUGGAGAGUGUGUUGGGGAAAGAUAGAUGUGUAGGUGCAGAUAGCAAAGCCAUAGGGCAAAGUAUGUGACUUCAGGGCAAGUGACAUCAGACCCUAGAAAGUUACUGGAAGUUCAGAGAAGAGGCCCCUCCAUCCAAGUCUGGGUUGAACUGGAAAGGAUUUGGAUAGGUGAAGGGACACAGUAGGGCACAGAGGAUGGGAAGAGGUCACCUGGGUAUGGAGGAGGAAGGUCAAAUAUCUGUGGCAAUAGGAGAAGCAGGGGCAGGGACAAAGGAAA